GACGAACGCUGGCGGCGUGCUUAACACAUGCAAGUCGAACGGUAAGGCCCUUCGGGGUACACGAGUGGCGAACGGGUGAGUAACACGUGGGUGAUCUGCCCUGCACUUCGGGAUAAGCCUGGGAAACUGGGUCUAAUACCGGAUAGGACCCUGGGAUGCAUGUCCUGGGGUGGAAAGCUUUUGCGGUGUGGGAUGGGCCCGCGGCCUAUCAGCUUGUUGGUGGGGUGAUGGCCUACCAAGGCGACGACGGGUAGCCGGCCUGAGAGGGUGACUGGCCACACUGGGACUGAGGUACGGCCCAGACUCCUACGGGAGGCAGCAGUGGGGAAGAUUGCACAAUGGGCGCAAGCCUGAUGCAGCGACGCCGCGUGAGGGAUGACGGCCUUCGGGUUGUAAACCUCUUUCAGCACCGACGAAGCGCAAGUGACGGUAGGUGCAGAAGAAGGACCGGCCAACUACGUGCCAGCAGCCGCAGUAA
rnacentral:rRNA from 1 species